GGAGCUUGCCAAACUACAUGCCUAUUAGUGAGGAACCUGAAAUCCAUAGCUGAAGGUUUACAAGAACUCUAGCCUCAUGUUCUUGGAUAAAGUUCAUGAACAACUGCCUAGAUGUCACAGUGUCUCCUUGUCCAGAGAGAUUCCUGUGACCAGAACUUGCCAUCUGAAUAACAAAAUCUGGUGCAAUGCUAAACUCACUUCUUUGGGGAUAUCUACUUUGUCAUUAGACAUCAUCUGGAAGCCUACCAAGAGGUUUGGGAGCACGUUAUGACCCAGAGAAAUCAUACCAAAUGGCACACAGAAGAAAUCUACCAUCUCUGCAAUUAAUUUGUCCUAAACAAUCGUGAUCUAGGCAUCACACUUCCUGCCAGCAGACCUACGUCUUGUGCAUACUUUUUAGUGACUGCAGUACCAAAAUCCACUGGAUUGGAAUCAGAGUCUUCAUAGUUUUUGCUCUUAAAUUAAAAGUGGUGGAAUCCA